CUGAGAAAGCCUUUAAUCCCUUCCACCCACGGUGUUUGCUAGCUGCCACCAGAGUGAACCUGUGGAAUGUGGGAGGGGCAUUCAGUGUGUGUGAG
ensembl:miRNA